AGGAAGGUAUUAUAAAUGGAGGUUGGGAAGGAAGGCUUUAUAAAUGGAGGUGGAGAAGGAAGACAUUAUAAAUGGAGGUGGGGAAGGAAGGUAUUAUAAAUGGAGGUGGGGAAGGAAGGCUUUAUAAAUGGAGGUGGAGAAGGAAGACAUUAUAAAUGGAGGUGGGGAAGGAAGAUAUUAUAAAUGGAGGUGGAGAAGGAAGGUAUUAUAAAUGGAGGUGGGGAAGGAAGGCAUUAUAAAUGGAGGUGGAGAAGGAAGGCUUUAUAAAUGGAGGUGGGGAAGGACGACAUUAUAAAUGGAGGUGGGGAAGGAAGGUAUUAUAAAUGGAGGUGGGGAAGGAAGGUAUUAUAAAUGGAGGUGGGGAAGGAAGGCUUUAUAAAUGGAGGUGGAGAAGGAAGACAUUAUAAAUGGAGGUGGGGAAGGAAGACAUUAUAAAUGGAGGUGGGGAAGGAAGACAUUAUAAAUGGAGGUGGGGAAGGAAGAUAUUAUAAAUGGAGGUGGAGAAGGAAGGUAUUAUAAAUGGAGGUGGGGAAGGAAUGUAUUAUAAAUGGAGGUGGAGAA